rnacentral:rRNA from 1 species
UGGAAGUAAAAGUCGUAACAAGGUUUCCGUAGGUGAACCUGCGGAAGGAUCAUUGUCGAGAUACGAAAUGUGGCCGGAAGACUGUGAACUCGUGAACGAAUGAUGAUUUUGGUGGAGGGUCCGUCCCGAAGCCAAUGCCCCUGCCUCUUGAGUCGAAAGCGAGCCAUAGGCAUGGCACGGCGCAUGUGUGGGUGGGGGCGCUAACAAAACCCGACGCAGCACGCGUCAAGGAACUUGUACGCGAAUGAGGCCCACCUUCAUUGGUUGAUGUAGUGGUCCUAUGUUUCGUAGAGUAAUUUUAUGACUCUCGGCAACGGAUAUCUUGGCUCCCGUAUCGAUGAAGAACGUAGCGAAAUGCGAUACUUGAUGUGAAUUGCAGAAUCCCGUGAAUCAUCGAGUUUUUGAACGCAAGUUGCGCCCGAUGCCAUUCGGCAGAGGGCACGCCUGCCUGGGCGUCACGUCUUGCGUCGCUCGGUGCCAACUACGCCCGCGGGUCGAAAGUGUUGGCACGGAUGCGGAGAUUGGCCUCCUGUGCCCUUGUGCGCGCGGUGGGUUGAAGAGUGGGAUGCCAACGGAGACGGACACGACGAGUGGUGGAUGCGAGCCGGACGUCGUGGUCUCGUCCUCUAAAGGCUCGGGGGCCCCUUGUGACACCCAGUAGGGUUGCGCUGCAAGCGUUGCCUAGCAUUGCGACCCCAGGUCAGGCGGGAACACCCGCUA